GAAUGCUCUGCUGAUUUAAAAUUAGAUCAUAGUAACAUCCACGUGGAAACAGGGGCUUCCUGGAUCAGACAGCCAGCCUGUAGCAGGUCCAUUAUAAUAUGGUAGCCUGUAACAGAGACCCAAAAUUCAGUCAACAAAUUUGGACAAUCCGCAAGAGGCAUGAGUCUCUUUCUUGGGUUUGUCUCCCUACCUCAUGAGUGGAGUGGCAACACUUCAAAAGCAACCCAGUGACUGCAGCCAAGAUGAGCGCCAAUUUGACCUCUGAGAGCGCCGACUAUGAGGAACUUGUGCGGUGUCUGUGGAGGAGAUACUGAGCACAGUUGAACAGAUA